rnacentral:rRNA from 1 species
AGAGUUUGAUCCUGGCUCAGGACGAACGCUGGCGGCGUGCCUAACACAUGCAAGUCGAACGGAAGUUAGAGCUUCGGUUUUAACUUUAGUGGCGAACGGGUGAGUAACGCGUGAGGAACCUGCCUUUCAGUGGGGGACAACAGUUGGAAACGACUGCUAAUACCGCAUGAUGCUUUUGGGAGACAUCUCCUGGAAGCCAAAGCUUUAUGUGCUGAAAGAUGGCCUCGCGUCUGAUUAGCUAGUUGGUGAGGUAACGGCUCACCAAGGCGACGAUCAGUAGCCGGUCUGAGAGGAUGAACGGCCACAUUGGGACUGAGAUACGGCCCAGACUCCUACGGGAGGCAGCAGUGGGGAAUAUUGGGCAAUGGGGGAAACCCUGACCCAGCAACGCCGCGUGAAGGAAGAAGGCCUUCGGGUUGUAAACUUCUUUUACCAGGGACGAAGGACGUGACGGUACCUGGAGAAAAAGCCACGGCUAACUACGUGCCAGCAGCCGCGGUAAUACGUAGGUGGCAAGCGUUGUCCGGAUUUACUGGGUGUAAAGGGCGUGUAGGCGGAGAUGCAAGUUGGGAGUGAAAUCCAUGGGCUCAACCCAUGAACUGCUCUCAAAACUGUAUCCCUUGAGUAUCGGAGAGGCAAGCGGAAUUCCUAGUGUAGCGGUGAAAUGCGUAGAUAUUAGGAGGAACACCAGUGGCGAAGGCGGCUUGCUGGACGACAACUGACGCUGAGGCGCGAAAGCGUGGGGAGCAAACAGGAUUAGAUACCCUGGUAGUCCACGCUGUAAACGAUGAAUACUAGGUGUGGGAGGACUGACCCCUUCCGUGCCGCAGUUAACACAAUAAGUAUUCCACCUGGGGAGUACGACCGCAAGGUUGAAACUCAAAGGAAUUGACGGGGGCCC